rnacentral:rRNA from 1 species
UGCCAGCAGCCGCGGUAAUACGGAGGGUGCAAGCGUUGUUCGGAAUUAUUGGGCGUAAAGCGCGUGUAGGCGGUUCGUUAAGUCUGAUGUGAAAGCCCGGGGCUCAACCCCGGAAGUGCAUUGGAAACUGGCGGACUGGAGUACUGGAGAGGGAAGGAGAAUUCCCGGUGUAGAGGUGAAAUUCGUAGAUAUCGGGAGGAAUACCAGUGGCGAAGGCGCCUUCCUGGACAGAUACUGACGCUGAGACGCGAAAGCGUGGGGAGCAAACAGGAUUAGAUA